rnacentral:tRNA from 1 species
GCCUGGCUGGCUCAGUUAGUAGAGCAUAUGACUCUUGAUCUCCAGGUUGUGGGUUUAAGCCCCAUGCUGGGUG